UACGAAGGGGGCUAGCGUUGUUCGGAAUCACUGGGCGUAAAGGGUGCGUAGGCGGCUUUGUAAGUCGGGGGUGAAAGCCUGUGGCUCAACCACAGAAUUGCCUUCGAUACUGCAUGGCUUGAGACCGGAAGAGGUAAGUGGAACUGCGAGUGUAGAGGUGAAAUUCGUAGAUAUUCGCAAGAACACCAGUGGCGAAGGCGGCUUACUGGUCCGGUUCUGACGCUGAGGCGCGAAAGCGUGGGGAGCAAACAGG
rnacentral:rRNA from 1 species